AUGAAGAUCCUGAUGAUCCUGAGUGUACUCUGUACCACGCUGACUCUCAUCCAUGCCGGCUGCUUCGUAGUCAAGAAUAUAGUGGAGCUCCAAACAGAUGGAAUCAUUACUCCCGAUAAGUGCCUGGACCCAUUUGACAGGAGUGAGCAUGCCAUCGGGACCUCAUGGAACUCCGACUUCUGCAUGAGGUGUGAAUGCCAAGGGGCCACCAUAACCUGCUGCACCAGGUACAGCAGCAGAAUCUCAACCCCCGCUGGUUGUGAAGCAACACUGGAUAAGCAGCUGUGCGAGUACAAGAUCCACAAAAUCAAUGACCCAGAGGCUCCCUGUGAAGUGUGAAUGAAAGAACCUAUCUGAGCGGCUUUCCGCCAGGGGAGACCCAAUAAAUCUCA
rnacentral:lncRNA from 1 species